UAAAUUUAAAUAGCUUAUAUAAUAGAGUGUAAUAUUGAAGAUAUUAAGGAAAUAGAAUUAUUUUUAA
rnacentral:tRNA from 1 species